GGUUUCUUUCCAAAAACUCCCCUUAGGCAAGGCAGGCAGAACUGUGAAGAGAAAACAGAAAAUAGGAGAGCUUGCUCUUGUUUUCUGAAUCCCAAAGAACGUCACCCCCAAUGCUGUCACUCACUAAAUGGAGCAUCUCAGGAGGAGAGAUGCUGCAGCCAGUCUCAGAGGAAGGAUCUCAGUCUCCUGGACAUAUCUGUUGCUUUCUUUCACUUGGUGAUAGACAAGCCACGAUCUCAUUUCAAAGCCUUCAGUUAGGCUAUGGGAUGCUACCUUCAAAAUCAAGCUUCUCUUAGAUCUACGUAGAGGUGGAACACAACAUGAAGAUUGGAUAUUUAAUAUUGGCCUGAGGUUUUCUUUGUUCUGGGAAGUAAUCACUGGAGCGACUCUCUUGGUAUGACAUGCAUGGCUGCAGAGUUCCUCCCAGGAGACUGGACAGUAAAUGGAGUCCCUCAUGCCACAAUGGAUUCACUCAUCUCUUUUAGCACUCAGGAAUUCUACAAAUUUGAUCUUUAAGAAAAUGAUGAAGAUGAGUAUGAAUAACUUGAAGACAGCGUAAUACCUUAAGCCAAGGCCCAAGCCUUGCACAGUGCCCAACACUAAGUAAACACAUGUGUUUAUCAACUGUAAGGAACUAUGGAAACAUUGUCAGGGAUACAAAGGUAAAUUGAGAGACCUGAGUAUUUAAGAAAGAAACAGAAUAUUAAAGACUGGAAACAUUGUUAAAGAUCUCUACUGCAGCCUCCAUGGAUUGAAGGUUUGAAAUAUGAGGCUCAGAGAAACUGUGUGCUGCUCAUACAUUUGAUGAACCUGCCUUAAACACCCUGUUAUUUGUUAUUCCAAUAAGCCCCUAAAUGUUAUUAAUCUUUUGUUGCUGUUGUUUCUAUUAGCAUUUCUACUAAUAAAAGCUUACUAUUUUGUUGACU